AGCAGCCGCGGUAAUUCCAGCUCCAAUAGCGUAUAUUUAAGUUGUUGCAGUUAAAAAGCUCGUAGUUGAAUUUCGGGGUUAGUAGGUUGGUCAUGCCUCUGGUAUGUACUGGUCUCACUGAUUCCUCCUUCCUGAUGAACCUUAAUGCCAUUAAUUUGGUGUUUUGGGGAAUUUGGACUGUUACUUUGAAAAAAUUAGAGUGUUUAAAGCAAGCUAACGCUUGAAUACAUUAGCAUGGAAUAAUGAAAUAGGACGUUCGAUCCUAUUUUGUUGGUUCCUAGGAUUGACGUAAUGAUUAAUAGGGAUAGUUGGGGGCAUUAGUAUUCAAUUGUCAGAGGUGAAAUUCUUGGAUUUAUUGAAGACUAACUACUGCGAAAGCAUUUGCCAAGGAUGUUUUCAUUAAUCAAGAACGAAAGUUAGGGGAUCGAAGACGAUCAGAUACCGUCGUAGUCUUAACCAUAAACUAUGCCGACUAGGGAUCGGAUGAUGUUAAUUUUUUAAUGACUC
rnacentral:rRNA from 1 species